rnacentral:rRNA from 1 species
GAUGAACGCUGGCGGCGUGCCUAAUACAUGCAAGUCGAGCGAAUGGAUUAAGAGCUUGCUCUUAUGAAGUUAGCGGCGGACGGGUGAGUAACACGUGGGUAACCUGCCCAUAAGACUGGGAUAACUCCGGGAAACCGGGGCUAAUACCGGAUAACAUUUUGAACCGCAUGGUUCGAAAUUGAAAGGCGGCUUCGGCUGUCACUUAUGGAUGGACCCGCGUCGCAUUAGCUAGUUGGUGAGGUAACGGCUCACCAAGGCAACGAUGCGUAGCCGACCUGGGAGGGUGAUCGGCCACACUGGGACUAGAACACGGCCCAGACUCCUACGGGAGGCAGCAGUAGGGAAUCUUCCGCAAUGGACGAAAGUCUGACGGAGCAACGCCGCGUGAGUGAUGAAGGCUUUCGGGUCGUAAAACUCUGUUGUUAGGGAAGAACAAGUGCUAGUUGAAUAAGCUGGCACCUUGACGGUACCUAACCAGAAAGCCACGGCUAACUACGUGCCAGCAGCCGCCGUAA